UUCAUUUCUGUUACAACUAAGAACCUUUCCCGGAAAGAUCCCGAGAGGGCCCCUUCUCCUUUUCUUUCUCCGCUGUCUAAAAUGCUUUAUUGAGGAAGGGUGAAAAAUUGCUGAAUUGAUCUUUUUAAAUGAACGCGGAUCUGAACCAAAGAAAUUCGGAAGAAGAGAACUUUCUCAUCCAAGUGGCUGCCAACACCUCACCCCCAGCUGAAGCGCUCCCUUGUUCUCUCCUGCUCUGCCCCAGAUUCAUGGGCCGCUCUCUGAAUCGUUGGCAAUUUUCUCUGUACUGUCCUGACAACCUCCAGCCAUGAAAUUAAAAAGCUAGUUACCGAAUCUUGCUCCUAACGGCUUUGUCCUUGCCAGCAAUUCGACAGAGAAAUCUGGAAGAGAGAGAGCCUCCACUUCGCCUGCAGUGGGUUGAAAUGCUGCUGGAAUGACAAUGGGAUUCGCAGUGGGAGGAGGAGAGAAUGCGCAGUUUGCCAGGAAUGAAUGAAUGAAAGGGAGAGAGAAAGAAAGAGUGAACUUCGGGCUUUAAACUGAAAAAUUCCAG
rnacentral:lncRNA from 10 species